CAAAUAAUCACAAAGCAGCCUGAAUGGACUAAGACAGAGAUCUGGCCAAACUGCAGAGUUAUCUGCUUCCUGAGACGCGGACAGAGGACUGCCCUGCCCCUUCCGGGAAGGCCUCGGGCUGCAGUGCUUGGCUCCCUGGAGUCCUGGGCUCUCAGACCUGAACUCCACUCCAUUGAUGGAGGAAAACAUCUACCAGCGUCUCCUCGGCCACCAUCCUCUGUUUCCGGCCCCCUUCUCUCCCCAGUUUUACCACACAUCAAACAUCCCAUGUGCUUGGGGCGUGUAUUGUAUGCCAGGCACGUGAUGCUGUUGGAAGCACGAACAAAAUGUUUCAAGCACUUGCUUCAAGGGGCUUCCGGUCUAAGAGAGGAAAUAAAUCUCUGCAUAGUGGAAAUCUGUAAACGGAAUCUGAGUGGUACAAAAUAGCUAAGUCACA
rnacentral:lncRNA from 1 species